GUCCAGACUCCUACGGGAGGCAGCAGUGGGGAAUAUUGCACAAUGGGGGAAACCCUGAUGCAGCGACGCCGCGUGAGUGAAGAAGUAUUUCGGUAUGUAAAGCUCUAUCAGCAGGGAAGAAAAUGACGGUACCUGAUUAAGAAGCCCCGGCUAACUACGUGCCAGCAGCCGCGGUAAUACGUAGGGGGCAAGCGUUAUCCGGAUUUACUGGGUGUAAAGGGAGCGUAGACGGCAGCGCAAGUCUGAAGUGAAAUGCCGGGGCUUAACCCCGGAACUGCUUUGGAAACUGUGCAGCUAGAGUGCAGGAGAGGUAAGUGGAAUUCCUAGUGUAGCGGUGAAAUGCGUAGAUAUUAGGAGGAACACCAGUGGCGAAGGCGGCUUGCUGGGCUUUUACUGACGCUGAGGCUCGAAAGCGUGGGGAGCAAACAGGAUUAGAUACCCGAGUAUAC
rnacentral:rRNA from 1 species